GACGAACGCUGGCGGCGUGCCUAAUACAUGCAAGUAGAACGCUGAAGGAGGAGCUUGCUUCUCUGGAUGAGUUGCGAACGGGUGAGUAACGCGUAGGUAACCUGCCUGGUAGCGGGGGAUAACUAUUGGAAACGAUAGCUAAUACCGCAUAAUAGUAGAUGUUGCAUGACAUUUGCUUAAAGGGUGCAAUUGCAUCACUACCAGAUGGACCUGCGUUGUAUUAGCUAGUUGGUGGGGUAACGGCUCACCAAGGCGACGAUACAUAGCCGACCUGAGAGGGUGAUCGGCCACACUGGGACUGAGACACGGCCCAGACUCCUACGGGAGGCAGCAGUAGGGAAUCUUCGGCAAUGGACGGAAGUCUGACCGAGCAACGCCGCGUGAGUGAAGAAGGUUUUCGGAUCGUAAAGCUCUGUUGUAAGAGAAGAACGAGUGUGAGAGUGGAAAGUUCACACUGUGACGGUAUCUUACCAGAAAGGGACGGCUAACUACGUG
rnacentral:rRNA from 1 species